rnacentral:rRNA from 1 species
AGUUUGAUCAUGGCUCAGGACGAACGCUGGCGGCGCGCUUAACACAUGCAAGUCGAGCGAUAACCAUGGCUUCGGCUAUGGGGAGAGCGGCGAACGGGUGAGUAACACGUGAGUAAUCUGCCCUCGACACUGGGAUAGCCCGGGGAAACCCGGAUUAAUACCGGAUAGCCUCUCGAGCUCUCGGGCUCGUGAGAAAAGAUGGCUUCGGCUUUCGGUUGAGGAGGAGCUUGCGGCGGAUUAGCUUGUUGGUGAGGUAACGGCCCACCAAGGCGACGAUCCGUAGCUGGUCUGAGAGGACGAUCAGCCACACUGGGACUGAGACACGGCCCAGACUCCUACGGGAGGCAGCAGUGGGGAAUCUUGCGCAAUGGGCGAAAGACUGACGCAGCGACGCCGCGUGAGGGAAGAAGGCCUUCGGGUUGUAAACCUCUUUCAGGAGGGACGAAGCUACUCGGGUUAAUAGCCCAGAGGGUGACGGUACCUCCAGAAGAAGCCCCGGCUAACUACGUGCCAGCAGCCGCGGUAAUACGUAGGGGG